ACUGUGCAGAUACAUCUCUCUUUAUGGUGAGAACUGAAUAAUUGAGUUGCAAACAUACAAGGACAUAGACAGACAUCAAAAACACCAAACAAGCAGAGCUAGGGGUACAAGAGCCCUUUCUGUGUCAACAUCAAUGCACCUAAGGAAAUUAUAGCUACUAAAUGAACAAAUUUAUUCUGAAUGGUAAAUAAUGAUAGAGUGAAACUGUUUGAAGACAACUUUAAUUGGACUUAAAACACCAACUGCAUCUGCCACACACCACCCACAGGAUCAGCUUCAUCAAUGAAAUAUCAUGAAUACCCUGCCUGCAUCAGCAAAUGGAGGUCUUUAUACGGUGAGCAAACUGAGGACUUUAUACAGUGAAGAACAGUAAAGUUAUCACAGGCGGAACUGACUAUAGGAGAAGAGUUGAAAUCAAAUAAACUGAAAACCAUGAAGCUAUAUGUGAUGAAGAGGCUGUCAUUAGUAGGAAUACGUUGUGAAGGGAGAGGUAAAUGAAGAAGAAAGGGAAACAGAGGGUGGAGUGGGGCCACUGUUCCUUUUGUUUGAAGAGAGAGAAGAGCUGUGAAUAAUGCCUAAGAGCAAAACUAAACCAGAAAUAAAUGACUUUUUUAAUGUGAGACCUUCAACCUCAAUUCCAGUUCCCCAGAGGCCAUCUUUGACUCCUUCUCUGGCUGUGCUCACACAGAUGUCAACCGUGGAUAAAGAUAGCUCUAGAAAGAAACUGAUGAAGGAACUGCUACUUAGCAAGGUGAGUUUACAAGCUUCCUUGACAUUGGCAGAGGGGGAGUUGGAGGCGAUGUCAUUCAGAAUAUCCAAUUAAAAGGAAUGGAUUAGGAGAGACUAGGAGCGACUGCAGAUAGCAGCGAACAAGUUAGAUAAUGGCAUAGAGAGUAAACUUAUAAAGUUUGUGGAUGAUAUCAAGCUGGAAAGGGUUGCAAGUCUUUUGGAGCAUAGGAUUAUAAUUCAUAAUGACCUGGAGAAAUGAUCUGAAGUAAAUAGGAUAAAAUUCAAUAAGGACAAAUGCAAAGUACUCCACUUAGGAAGGACACAUACAAAAUGGGAAAUGACUGCCUAGGAAGGAGUACUGCGGAAAGUGAUCUGGGGGUCAUAGUGGACCACAAACUAAAUAUGAGUCAACAUUGUAACACUGUUGUGAGGGGGGGAAAAAAAAAUAAGCAAACAUCUUUCUGGGAUGUAUUAGCAGAAGUCUUGUAAGCAAGACACAAGAAGUAAUUUUUCUGCUCUAUUCUGUGCUGAUUAGGCCUCAGCUGGAGUACUGUGUCCAGUUCUGGGUGUCACAUUUCAGGAAAGAUGUGGACAAAUUGGAGAAAGUCCAGAGAAGAGCAACAAAAAUUAAAGGUCUAGAAAACAUGUCCUGUGAGGGAAGAUUGAAAAAACUGGGUUUGUUUAGUCUGGAAAAGAGAAGACUGAGAGAGGACAUGAUAUCAGUUUUCAAGUACAUAAAAGGUUGUUACAAGGAGGAGGGAGAAAAAUUGUUCUCCUUAACCUCUGAGGAUAGCACAAAAAGCAAUGGGUUUAAAUUGCAGCAAGAGAGGUUUAGGUUGGACAUUAGGAAAAACUUUCUAACUGUCGGGAUGGUUAAGCACUAGAACAAAUUGCCUAGGGAGGUUGUGGAAUUUCCAUCACUGGAGAGUAAGAGCAGGUUAGACAAACACCUAUCAGGGAUGGUCUAGAGAAUACUCAGUCCUUCCAUGAGUGCAGGGGCCUGGACUAGAUAACCUCUCGAGGUUCCUUCCAGUUCUAUGCACAUUGUUCAACUGAUUCAGUGGAAGCUGCUCAGCUAAAUCAGUGAUUAAAAGUAUUUUGUGUGUGGUGGGAGAGGCAUGUUAAACUGCUCAAAAUGCAAGGGUUAAUAGGAUCCCAGCAUAUAAAGAUUAUUGGGAUCCUGGUGGAUAAAUAUCCUGAUCCAGUAAUUUUUAUGGAAAACUCAUUCUGAAAAUCAUACACACACCCUAAAUAUUAAAGAACUAUGUUCUGUGGAUAAAUUAUUACCCUCAGUUUGUGCUAUGAGGAGAUCAGGUGGUAAAGGAGAAUGGUGAAAAUCUUCAUUGUCACAUUGACUGAUGCCAGGGAGUGUGAAUGAGUAUUAAAGGUUGCCAAGAAUAUAAAGAACUAUUCUAUGAAGAGAAUGAGAUUGUCUUCUUUUCUGAUAUGAACUCCAUGACAAGUCUAGAGGAAAGAAUUUAGGGAAAUCAAACACUUCAUGGAUGAAGGAACAGAGGACAAGGUAUUAACUGUUCCAAGCAAAACUCAGUUACCCACAAGAAGAAAUGGUAUAUUUUCUGAAUUCAGACUGCUAAUUGUUUGCCUUAUUAAAAUAAGAGAAGAGAGAUCUGAUCAGGAGACCAUUGGUAGAGACUUCUGAUGACUAAAUUCUUGUUAAAACUGGGUUGCGGCAUUGCCAGCAAGACUUCUCCCUCCUUUAAUAUAUGGUAUGUUUAAAUUGGUAGAAAGAUGUGUUUGAUAUUUUAAUAGAUUUAUUAGAAUUCCCUUUUUUGCAUAAAUGUAACAUUUAUAGUCAUUUCUCAGAGAUGGGCUAUUGAUAAGUUUAGGGCAGCACGUCCCCCUGCCGCUUCUCAGAAGCGUAGAUGGACUUUUGCAUUCCAUUAUUUAACCUGAAUGCCACUACUGCAGUUAAUUGAAGCAGCUGUGUGAUGUUUAGAUGCUGAGUUAUUAUUUGGGUUUGUAUCUGUAUCUACUUUAUUCUUUUUUCUAUAUAUUCAUAUUUUUGAAAGCACUGACAAUUUGGUGCUUUUGGAAUGCUUUCACCCCCACAGCAUUUCCUUUGUUACCACUGAAGUUUGUUGCUUGUGUGCUGUGCUUCUGCAGAAAUCAGCCAUGCUGAUAUGUUUGUUUAGUGUAGUAUGAAAAUAGUAAAUAAAAAGGAAUUAUAAAAAACUCUAAAGAUAUCAUAUUCCAUUAGAAUAUGCAUUAUAUAUUUGUUUCAUCUUCUGUGAUGGAAUGGGAAUGCAUUAUUUAUAUAAUUUGCCAGUCUUAUUAAUUAUUGUUCUUGGUGUAGCAUAUGCUGUUCUUUGCAUUCAUUGAUGCAAAACCCAUAUCUGAAUUAAAUAUAAAAUAAAAAUGCAUAACUGAAUGAGACCAUUUUACUCUAACAGAAUUGCAAUUUACAAACUUCCCAUUAAUUAAGGUGUAGCACUGAUCUGCCACUUGCCAAUAAAGUUACUUAUCUAUUACUAAAUUAAAAACACAGCAUUAAUUUUAUUUAAAGUCACUGUAAUUCAUUUCUCCAAAUUCUACUGAAAACUCUGAGUUGAAAUACUCAUUACCUUUUCUGUCAAAUGCUAACAAUAGUUCAUAAUUGGCUUACUUCGCUAACCUCACCAAGGUCUUUGUCAGCAGGAAAGGUUAUCAGAGGAAUUUGCACAAUACCUUCCCCAUUACCUUAUUUAGUAAAUAAAUCUGAAGUGUUUGUAUAUGGAUUAUGUGAGACUAGUGCUUCUAUUCGUAGCUGCACAAAACUGCAGCUUGUCCUUCCAGUCCUGUUUUUCGCAAAGAGAGCCAAAGAGGAAGGGAAAAUAACCUAUCAUAUCAAUUAAUGUGGACUGCUUCCAGGUAAUCUAAACCAUCCUCAUGCAGCAAUUUACUUUUUUAAAUUGGAAAGGCAACUGGAAAGGCAAAAUUUCUCUCUCUAGCUCUAAGUAUGUUGCAGUAUAACACAUCUAUUCAGAGUGCUAAUUUGCACUGCUUGAAAUAGAUAUUUUAUUAACAAAAUAAACAUCCCAAACUGUAUCUUCCCCAGAUUAUUUGAAAUUUUAUUCCUCACAAAAAUAAACAGGUUUACUGAAUUAUAAGGAAUAUUCCAGUAUAGAUACCUUUUGCUCAGCUUUUACUCCGACAGCUACAGUGAAAGUAGUCUCUGAUUUAAAGCACAUUUUAUUGUCCAAGGGACACUAAAUAAUAUACAAUUAAGAUUUAUUAUGUUGCUUUUGCAUAUUUGGUAUUACAUCCAUUUAUGUAAUAUAUUAAUAGUUACAUAAAAUACCAUUAAACGACUUUUUACUUCAAUUUUCAUCUCAAAUAUUUAUCUUCUCUUAAAAUAUCCUAUAACGAUAGAAUCAGGAAAUCAACCCUUUUCUAAUCUGCACCAUAAUAAAAGGCUAAAUUCACUUCCAAGUGGAUGUGAAAAACUAUACUUUAAACUAAACAUCAAUCUCAGAAUUAGCAUGCAAAUCAAAAAUAUAUAUUGUAAUGUAGAUGGGUCUUCAAUGAAUAGUAGAUUUAAAUCUGCUAAUUUUGAGAUUCAAAUUAGAUUGCUAACUGAAGCACAAAUAGUAUAUCUGAAAUUCAUGUUGACCCUCAAACUAUGUUCAUGCUUAAAAAAAUGAUGGCAGGAAAAAUGUGGAAGGCAAGAAUAGCACUGCUAUAAGUAUUUGUAUUAAAAAAAAAAAGGCUACUCCAUAUGUCAUUCAAAGCCUAGCAGCUUUGGUUGAAAUCACAAUUCCUUUUGGUGACAUCCAUAUGGAAUGGAAAGUUUUAAUAUUACCCUUUGCUAAAAGUCAUGAUCUAAUUUCCUGUAUGUUGUAUUAAAAAAUUGUCAACUCUAUUUACUGCUUUAUUUCAAACUAAAAAUGAUGAAUGUUAUAGGUGAGUUACAUUGAUGAAAUCCCUUCACUUUUGUUCCUGAUGUAAAGAAAUGGCUGCAUCACAACAUCAUUUAUAGUUCUGAGAAGACUAAUAAUCUUAGUUUAAUUUGGGAACAAAGCUUCUCUGGUUCCGAACUGUGAACUGGUUCUUGUUCUAUAGCUAUUUCUACUUUCAUUCACUGGCCUAUGAAUAACAUAUGACAAUUUCCUAGCACUUUUGGGCUCCUUAAUCUCCAAAAGCAUGUAUCAAUAAUGAGUAGUAUUUUCCUCCC